AGUGAACGCUGGCGGUAGGCCUAACACAUGCAAGUCGAACGGCAGCACAGUAAGAGCUUGCUCUUACGGGUGGCGAGUGGCGGACGGGUGAGGAAUACAUCGGAAUCUACUUUUUCGUGGGGGAUAACGUAGGGAAACUUACGCUAAUACCGCAUACGACCUACGGGUGAAAGCAGGGGAUCUUCGGACCUUGCGCGAUUGAAUGAGCCGAUGUCGGAUUAGCUAGUUGGCGGGGUAAAGGCCCACCAAGGCGACGAUCCGUAGCUGGUCUGAGAGGGUGAUCAGCCACACUGGAACUGAGACACGGUCCAGACUCCUACGGGAGGCAGCAGUGGGGAAUAUUGGACAAUGGGCGCAAGCCUGAUCCAGCCAUACCGCGUGGGUGAAGAAGGCCUUCGGGUUGUAAAGCCCUUUUGCUGGGAAAGAAAAGCAGCAGGUUAAUACCCCGCUGUUCUGACGGUACCCAAAGAAUAAGCACCGGCUAACUUCGUG
rnacentral:rRNA from 1 species